GCUUGCCUUUGGCCCUCAUUCUCGGGUGUGAGCGGUACAGGCCUUGCUCCCCAAGAGUCGGGGAUGGAGAGGACCCUGGCCCGGCCCUCGGAUUACUGUUACGGUUACGGAGAAGUUGAGGCCCAGCCCCUCGCCCUGGGAACCCCGGGCUGAUCCGGGCUUGGGCCUUAGAGGCCAACCAGGUGAUAUCCUAGGUUCAUCUUGAACCCCUUCCUUCCCACACCUACCGCUCUUUCAAAAGAUUGGGUGAAGGGUUGGGGUGAAAAGGGUAGAGACUGGGAAUGAGAACAGCUCCGGAAAGUUCAAACUAGGGACACAUACUUAGUGGCUGGAAUGAGACUCCAAGAGACAGACCGACCCUUGGGGUUUGUUAGGUGUGCCAAGAAGAAAAUUGUGGACCAUACAUUGUCCAUAGUGCUUUAAUUGGCUUAAUGAAAAUAAGCCAGUAGCUUUUCUAUUUUUUAGGAGAAAUCUGGCAAAGGAGAACUCAGGACGUUUUUGCAGGAGAGGAAAUAAAACUCUGAGCCAUUGUUAAAAGGGAAGUUUAAAACUUCCAGCGCUUCAUAGAUUUUAGGCCUCUCAAAAUUGUGGCUGUCAGUUUGUAGUUCAGCCCUCAGAUACCAGCUGCCUCCUGGUUCUGGUGUUGGGUCAGGUGUACAUAUGGCAGCAGAGCAAAUAGCCUGUUGAUAUUUUUAGCUUUCUCAGUUGUUCUUAUUUGCUGAAGUCCUGCAGGGUGCUACAGAAAUGGCUGAGUUGGAGCAUGUAAUUUAGGGGAGGUGGGAAAGAGUUGUAAUUUGGAGCCAGUGAGUGGGAAUGAGUUUGACUGAUUUGCCCUCUCCUCUUUCACCCUCAGCCUAAGUCUUCCACUCCUUUGCACAUUGACCCUAAUUUUUUUUUUUCUAAAGAGACUGAAUUUUAUCACCCUAGAUAUGAAGUUGAGUGAGCUGCCAGUAUAUUUUUAGUUAGAUUCUGUGAUAUCAAAGAGGGUGGUGACUUAGGCAUUGCCGAGUUUCAGCACUGUUCUUUGGCUUCUGAUUUUUGAGAUAACACUUUAGGUUAAAGAGGCUAAUGACCUGUGCCAGGUCACUCACGUGCCCUGCCAUUGGUGCCACCAAGAAUUGAGCCCAGAUCGCCAGUUCUCCUGGUUAUCCAGUGCUGGUUCUUUAUACCAUAUCCUGCUGUCUGCAUUUUGACUGAUACCACUUUUUAUCAGCUUGACAUGUCCAUUAGUGGAAAGAGAUAUUUAUCAUAACAGUUAUCGUUGGUAUUUGUUUAGUGCUUUCCAUAUGCUGAACACAUUGCUUAGUGUUUGCAGUCUCUGAAGGAGAAUUGACAGACAGGGCAGCUGAGGCUUAGAGAGGCCAGGUGACUCGUCCAAGGUCACAUCACUGGUAAACAGAUCACCACGGGUGAUCUUUUGAUUUCCUCCUCUAAGCUUUUUGGACCUACUUGGGGUCCUUGACCUUGUGGCUACCAUACCUAUUUCAAUUCUCUAGGUAUGUCCUUUGGUCUCAGAAAACAUGUGGAAAACAGCCAAGCUUGUCUACUUAUAUUUGUACACAACUCAAUAAAAGCAGGAGUUGUAAAAAUAAAGUUCAUAUGACCUUAAACCUUUACAUUUACAACAUGGCUAAUUCCCGAGAUUAUUAGACAUUAUUCAGAGUGAAAAUUCCAGCAACAGGUUAUAAGCUGUUAGGAACCGAGUUGCCCAGUGCAAGUCAGAGUCUGCUGCUACUUAGACAAAUGGGCCAUUUAUGCACAAAGGACAGUGAGACCUGGCCCUCCAGCUGGCUCUCUUCCUAUGCCUGUCUGAGUGGCCUGCACUGACCAGGAGUGAACUCCUAGUUGAUCCAACAUGAAUUGGAAGGCUCUUGAACACAUGCCCCUGCUCCUGUAUAUCCUGGCAGCGAAAACAUUAAUUCUCUGCCUGGCAUUUGCCGGAGUCAAGAUAUACCAAAGGAAAAGAUUGGAAGCAAAACAGCAAAAACUGGAAGCUGAAAGGAGGAAGCAGGCCGAGAAGAAGGAUAACUAACGGGAGAGGAAAAGAUUGUGUAAUUUAAAUGUCAGCUUGAGUGGACUCCAGCUGAGAAGAAAGCCUUAAUUCCUGAAUUAUGUGUCAGAAGAUGAACUCCCAACCUGUAGCCUAACUUAAAAUGAUGGGAAUUUUUAUAUGCUUUUAAAAGAACCGGUAUUUUAUUUACUUAAAUAAAAUGUCUUUGUAAAAAG